rnacentral:rRNA from 1 species
AGUGAACGCUGGCGGCGUGCCUAACACAUGCAAGUCGAAGGAAGUGGCGCACGGGUGUGUAAUAUAUAUCUAAUCCGCCCCUUGCUGGAGGACUACAGAUUGAAAUGACUGCUAAUACCCCAUAGCAAGGGAUGGGACUAUAUCGUAUCAGCUAGUCGGGGGGGUAUCGGCCGACCGAGGCUAUGACGCGUAACUCGUCUAAGAGGAUGAUCAGUCACAUUGGAACGGAGGCACGGUCCGAGAUCCUGCGGGAAGGAGCAGUAGGGAAUGUUGCGCAAUGGGGGUGACCGUGGAGCGGCAACGCGGCGUAAAGGAUGACAAUUUUCGGAGAGUAAACUCCUUUUGUUAGGGAAGCGGUACCUACCGAAUAAGCACCGGCUAACUCCGUGCCAGCAGCCGCGGUAAUAC